rnacentral:other from 1 species
AUGGCCCUGCUUUGUUGGUGAUGUCAGAGAAGGCUUUGAACCAACAUCCUUGUCUUGGGAGCCUGUUCGCUAAUUGAGCCGUGGUUCAGUUGGGAGGGCACCCACCUUUUUGAGGGCGAGGAUCAAAGCGGUUGGCACACGGCAAAGCGGGGCCGUU